GAUGAAGAACGCAGCGAAAUGCGAUAAGUAAUGUGAAUUGCAGAAUUCAGUGAAUCAUCGAAUCUUUGAACGCACAUUGCGCCCCCUGGUAUUCCGAAGGGCAUGCCUGUUCGAGCGUCAUUAUCACCCCUCAAGCCCUCGGCUUGGUGUUGGACGGUUUGGUGGAGGCCCCCUCGGGGGCUCCUGCCCCUCCCAAAGACAAUGACGGCGGCCUCGUUGGACCCCCGGUACACUGAGUUCUUCACGGGACACGUAUCGGACACAUGGGUUUACGGGACACGGUCUGCCUCCCCUCAGGGAGAAUCUUUCUAAGGUUGACCUCGGAUCAGGUAGGGAUACCCGCUGAACUUAAGCCUAUCAAUAAGCGGAGGA
rnacentral:misc_RNA from 1 species